rnacentral:rRNA from 1 species
GACGAACGCUGGCGGCGUGCUUAACACAUGCAAGUCGAACGGAGUUACGUAUGAAGUAUUUCGGUACGGACUAUGUAACUUAGUGGCGAACGGGUGAGUAACACGUGGGCAACCUGCCCUUAACCGGGGGAUAACAUUGUGAAAACAGUGCUAAUACCGCAUAACAGAGUAUCGGGCAUCCGAUAUUUUUAAAAGGAGCAAUCCGGUUUAGGAUGGGCCCGCGUCCAAUUAGCUAGUUGGUGAGGUAACGGCUCACCAAGGCUACGAUUGGUAGCCGAACUGAGAGGUUGACCGGCCACACUGGGACUGAGAUACGGCCCAGACUCCUACGGGAGGCAGCAGGCGGGAAUAUUGGGCAAUGGACGAAAGUCUGACCCAGCGACGCCGCGUGAGGGAUGAAGCUUCUCGGAGCGUAAACCUCAAACGGAUAGGGACGAAAAGCCUAUCGGCUAAUAUCCGGUAGGCCUGACGGUACCUGUUACGAAGCUCCGGCUAACUCCGUG